CAUUGACAUUCGUAUUGCGCGUUUUUUAAAAUAUGCAAAAUUAAAUGUAUAUUUUUCAAUAUUUCUGAGAGAUUAUCUUAAUAUUUCUUCGAGUUUUAAAGACUAAGAAGAUUUUUAUUUGCUAAUAAGUGUUUGUUAAUCAAGGUAAGUUCACAUCCUCAUUAUUGAUUUUUAGUAACUUUUGGUGACUACGAAAUACUACAAUUUGGUAUACACGGUUAUGCAGAAAAUGUAUGAGAGCUUUUUAUUUUCAGUUGGAAUUUCGUUUUAAACAAUGCUACCAACCAGACGUACAAGCUUAGGCCGCAGAACUCGAAAUACGGCAAGUCAAAGAAAUAUAAGAGCAAAUCAAACUAAUGAGCAUCGCGAAGCGCGAAAUGAACUUGAACUGAAUCGAUAUCAAGAUAGAAAUGUUGUGUUUAAUCCCCACAAAGCUGCAUUCAGUUAUAAUGUGGCAAUUGAUUACAGUUCAGAGCAAAUUGUUGCUAUUGGACUAAUGAACAUUGUGUGUCCACAUUGGGAUUGAAAUUCAAAAAUGAAGUCUCUGGAUUGUGUUGUGCCAGCGAGCAAGUCAAAUUGACGCCAUUGGUACCGCCACCAGAGCCACUACAUUCAUUGGUUAAUUUUUUGACUCAUAUCCAGCAGUACAAUAAUUGCUUUCAAAUGACAUCAUUUGGGGCAACAAAAGUUAUACGAGACAAUUUUUUGCCUACUUUUAGCAAAUUCAGGGAUUCAAAUAUAUCAUCAAACAGGUUCCUUAUUGCCAGUGCCUGUUGAAGACUAUACAUUUUUGCAAAUAUAUUUUAUGGACAAUUCAGCAAGAGAAGUCGAUCAGCGUUGCGCACACAACAACUCAGUAAAGAGAUCCAUUGUGAUGAACAACUUCAAACAUUUUUCCUUCAACACAAUGAAUUAGUUGCAUUAGACCGAUGCAUUAGACAUUCACAAAUGCAUUAGACCGCAUGCCAUCAGAUAAUCACAAAAUUGUCAUCAGAGCCGAUAAGGCGCCUACAGGACAGUGAAAUGAUUGAAUCCUAUGAAAUAAACACUAUUAUGAAAAUA